CGCCGGGUCCGCUGUGCCAGGCGCGGGUACCUGCUGCGGGCCGGUCCUUGCCUUCCCCCGUGCCGGCCGCCGGCCCCUCGCUCCGCUCCGCGCCCCCGUCACAUAGCGAUGAUUUUUUCACGGGGACGGGGCAGCAAUUCCCCCCUUUUCCCUGCCAAGAGGUGCGAAAGCCCUGCAAGUUUGCAAGCGCUUCCCCCCCCCCCCCCCCGCAGUUGGACUGAUGGCCCGUACUAAUUAAUUUAAUACACUUAGAACUAAUUGUAUUUACUUUAGCCUCCCCUCCCGCACCCCCCCAUCCUCCGGGAGGGGGAUGGGGCCGAGGCCGGGGGGGGCCGUGGAAGCGGCGAGCGGGCUGGACGCGGAGCGGCGGAUCGGCUCGGUUUAAACCUCGACAGCGCCAUCUCUCGUCGAAAGUGGUGUUACAGAAACACAGAACAACCCUGUAUCAGAGAAGAGGGGAAAGACGCUGCAGCAAAGAAGCAGAAUCAAUUACUGUGUUACUUCCCGAUGGACUUGGCUGAGACUGUGCCACUGCAGCCUUUGCUCCAGCUUCAUUCCUGCUGACCUGGUCCACGCCAUGAACGUAUGCUGCUCUAAACUCACCUUCUCAAACAUUUCUCUCUUUCCCCUAAUCCUGUGUCUAUGCUUGGCUUUAAAUCCAAAUAAUCAAUAUAAUUUAGGCCCAUUCUGCAGUAUUAACACAACCUUACUUAUGCAGAGACAACCCCAACUCUAUUGACUUCAAGAACUGCAGGAUUGAAUCCGUGAUCCCAUUGAAACCAAUGACAAAACUUGUAUUGAUUGCAAUGGAAGCAGGAUCAGGUCCUUGAUGUUAGCAAUUUGUUUAAGUCAGAGGGCUACAAGAAGUGAAGGACAUCAGCAGAUCUUGUGGCAAGAAUACAGGUCUGCGCCCCAAAAUUCAAAGGCAAAAUUCACUUGUGGUGGGUCAUCUUUACACUCAGGUUUUACCAUCUGCGUGCUGGGAUGCCUGUGUAUUUUGUCCGGACGCAUAAAGCCAGUCCUCCUGGGAGCAUUCAGAUGAGCACAUCUAUAAAUGUAGUGCAGUAAAAUGAGCUACUUUUGCCACUCGUGCUUUUUCCGAGCCUGGUACAAUCCAUUUUUGUGACGACAGUUUUCUGCCCCACACGCAUCUGAUACUGCUCUUUUAUUUUAAGGCUGAGAAAAUCUUCCCUUUAAACUCAUGCUGAGCAUCAAAUUGGACUCCACUUGCAGCUGAACAUCUUGGCUGUCUCUUCCUUUCCUCCAUCAGCUCCAGUAUAUUUUAUGUAGAAUUCUCUCUGUUAAUAAAACUUGCUUCUCCCUUCAUUCUGCAGUUUUGCAUUAGUGUUACUGAAACCACCAGACCUGCCCUGUUUCAAAACUGUGCGAAGGAGAAGGGGAAAAAAAAAAAAAAAAGUAGUUUUUUUCCUGUACAGUCUCCUAUUUUGCCAUUCUGCACAGACUCUAAAUGUACAGCUUCUAUUCGACUGUAAAGUUUCUGUUGGUAAAUUAGAACAAAAGUAGCUUGAAAAGGCAGGCUUAAACACAUAUUUUGGUUGCUUUUGUGUCACAUCCAAGAGGGCUUGUGUUUUAUCUCUGGGAAUUACAAGGUAUUAGCAGCUGCUUCGAUUUUAUUCCCCUGGAAGUGCCUGACAGUCACUAUAUGGAAGAUGCAGCAUCGGUGUUACACCUGAGUGCGUGCGUUUGCUCUGUGUACCCUGAGUCCAAAUGAGGUGACGGCUUUUUAGCAAUCAAAAUAUUUCCAUUGCUUGCUUAUAACAUUUGUAAAAUGCUAGAAAUAGUCCAAAUUAACUUUGCAUGAUCCAGAAACUGUUUUUCUGUCUGAAGGGAAGACAGCACGGAGGUGAGACUGAAAAGCUGCAGGUGACUCUAAUGUGUCUAAAGGUUGGUGUCACAAGAUUUGUACUGUGCUUGUUUCAUGAUGCAUGCCCUAGUUUACUAAUUUUCAUAAAUGGCUUUGCCUAAAUGUAAAAAUCAAUGGAGACAUUUUGAUGCUAAAAAAAAAUCUAUUUAUCUAAAAGAAAUAAAACCUGAAAUUGCAAUAAAGAUUUUUAUCAAA